GUGGGUAUAGCUCAGUAAUAGAGCAUGUGCUUGGUAUACACGAGGUUCUGGGUUCAAUCCCCAGUGCUUCCA
rnacentral:tRNA from 1 species